UACGAAGGGGGCUAGCGUUGUUCGGAUUUACUGGGCGUAAAGCGCACGUAGGCGGUUCGAUCAGUCAGGGGUGAAAUCCCAGAGCUCAACUCUGGAACUGCCUUUGAUACUGUCGAUCUGGAGUAUGGAAGAGGUAAGUGGAAUUCCGAGUGUAGAGGUGAAAUUCGUAGAUAUUCGGAGGAACACCAGUGGCGAAGGCGGCUUACUGGUCCAUUACUGACGCUGAGGUGCGAAAGCGUGGGGAGCAAACAGG
rnacentral:rRNA from 1 species